rnacentral:snRNA from 1 species
GUGCUCGCAUUCAGCAGCACAUAUACUAAAAUUGGAACGAUACAGAGAAGAUUA